rnacentral:rRNA from 1 species
UCGCGCCCCCCCCACGUCGCUGGCGGCACGCCUCCACAUGCAAGUCGAACGAAGUAGCAUACUUAGUGGCAGACGGGUGAGUAACAUGUAGGUAUCUACCCUUUGGCCUGGAAUAACACGAGGAAACUUGUGCUAAGACCGGAUAAGUCUUUACGGAGAAAGCUUUAUGCACCAUUGGAUGAGCCUGCACUUGAUUAGUUUGUUGGUGGGGUAAUGGCCUACCAAGACUGUGAUCAAUAGCUGAUUUGAGAGGAUGAUCAGCCACAUUGGGACUGAGACACGGCCCAAACUCCUACGGGAGGCAGCAGUGGGGAAUCUUGCACAAUGGAGGAAACUCUGAUGCAGCGAUGCCGCGUGAGUGAAGAAGGCCCUUGGGUUGUAAAGCUCUUUCGUCGGGGAAGAAAAUGACUGUACCCGAAUAAGAAGGUCCGGCUAACUUCGUGCCAGCAGCCGCGGUAAUACGAAGGGACCUAGCGUAGUUCGGAAUUACUGGGCUUAAAGAGUUCGUAGGUGGUUGAAAAAGUUAGUGGUGAAAUCCCAGAGCUUAACUCUGGAACUGCCAUUAAAACUUUUCAGCUAGAGUAUGAUAGAGGAAAGCAGAAUUUCUAGUGUAAAGGUGAAAUUCGUAGAUAUUAGA